UUCGUGCAGCCCCAGGGGCUUGGACUCCCUCUUGGCCCUGUGGCGUCUGAUUUGGGGACAGGAAAUCCAAAACUAACAGUUGGAGGUUGAUGCACUCGGUGAUGCAAUGGAAAGUCCAAAGUCACCUUGAUAUCCAUGUGUCCUUUGUCCACGGUUCAAUCGUCACUAUGAGCGCCACUUCUGAGAAGAAGUUUUAACCCACCAGCAUCAAUAAGCCACCAACCCAGGGAGGAGGCCAUCUUCCUCUCUCAUAUAUGCACACACAUCACUUACGGGUCAGACUGUUUCAGGGUACAGCCAGGGAUCGCUCUGGAAAUGGGACUACAAUGGUGGUUCUUUCUUUCAAUGGUGGCUCUCCUCUCUCUCUCCCCCCAUCUUUCUGUCUUAUUAUUUGUGUGUAUGAAGGGGUACCAUACCAAGAGCUUUCCUCAGUGAAGGGAUUUUAAUUAUUUGAAUAAAUGUAACUUGAAGCUUAUGCAUUAAAUAAACCAAGGAAAAGGUCAUCUUUCAGGGCUCAUAGGUUGUGCUUGCAGCAGCCACUUGCCUGAUGCCCAGCCAGUACAGGGACUAUUUUUGGUGUUGUGAAUGUCUGUGGCCAGUAUCUAGCUCUGGAUCAGACCUGCAGAGGUGACAAGGACACUCUUCAAGAAUGUGUGUGAAGGAGUUAGGGGAUGUUAAGGCUGUGUCUAGAUGUCCCCCCACCCCACCCCCAGAGCCUCAUGCAGUCACAGGUAGGGCU